UAUCCAACGCCCCUGACUAGUAACUUGACACACGUAUGUAGAUUUCAUUCAGGUGUCUCCCUUGAGGCGUGGCAGACACGGUAUGAAAUUUCAACCUCUGCCCUGGCAUAGCUUUACAUGGUUAUGUAUACGGAUAGCUUGCCAUUUUUGAUAAGAUACUAACGUAAAUGAGAGUUCUGUUGAAUAAGGCAGAGGAAUAAUAAAAAGAGAGAUAAGAUGUGGAAGUUGAAGAUAGCAGAAGGAGGAGAAGGGUUGAUAUCGGUGAACAAUUUCGUGGGGCGUCAACAUUGGGUAUUUGAUCCAAAUGCAGGAACCCCACAAGAACACGCUGAGAUUGAAAGGUUACGCCAGGAAUUCACAAAAAACCGAUUUUCUAUUAAACAAAGCGCCGACCUCUUCAUGAGAAUGCAACUCACAAAGGAGAACCAGCGGGGCCCCAUUCCAGCGGCAGUGAAAAUGGGAGACUCAGAGUCUGUGACGACGGAAGCAUUGAUUGCUACAAUCGGAAGGGCUAUCAGUUUCUAUUCAUCAAUUCAAGCACAUGAUGGCCAUUGGCCUGCCGACUCAGCUGGCCCAUUGUUUUUUCUUCAACCUCUGGUAAUGGCACUAUAUAUUACAAAAUCCCUUGAUGUUGUUCUUGGACCUGAACACAAGAAGGAAAUUGUUCGGUAUUUGUAUAAUCAUCAGAAUGAAGAUGGCGGUUGGGGAUUCCAUAUAGAGGGUCAUAGCACAAUGUUUGGAUCAGCAUUGAGCUAUAUUGCCUUGAGGGUACUUGGAGAAGGGCCUGAAGAUGGUGAGGACAGGGCAAUGGCCAAAGCCAGAAAGUGGAUCCUCGACCAUGGUGGUUUAGUGGCUAUACCAUCAUGGGGAAAGUUCUGGGUCACGGUACUUGGUGUUUAUGAGUGGUCUGGCUGUAAUCCACUUCCACCUGAGUUCUGGCUUCUACCCAGAUGCACCCCUAUUCAUCCAGGGAAAAUGUUGUGCUACUGUCGAUUGGUUUACAUGCCUAUGUCGUAUUUAUAUGGGAAGAAGUUCGUGGGCCGCAUCUCUGGUUUAAUCAGAUCACUGAGAGAAGAACUGUACAACGAGCCUUAUGAUCAAAUCAACUGGAAUAAAGCCCGGAACACUGUUGCUAAGGAGGAUCUCUAUUAUCCACAUCCUAUGAUCCAAGAUAUGUUAUGGGGAUUUCUUCAUCAUGUGGGAGAGCGUUUUCUGAAUUGCUGGCCCUUUUCUAUGCUUAGACGGAAGGCAUUAGAAAUCGCAAUCAAUCAUAUACGUUACGAGGAUGAGACCAGUAGAUACCUUUGCAUUGGAAGUGUAGAGAAGGUGUUAUGUUUGCUUGCACGUUGGGUUGAAGACCCCAACUCAGAUGCAUACCAACUUCAUUUAGCUCGAAUCCCUGAUUACUUCUGGCUUGCAGAAGAUGGCUUGAAAAUCCAGAGUUUUGGAUCCCAGAUGUGGGAUGCAGCAUUUGCUAUACAGGCGAUUCUUUCUUGUAGUGUGAGUGAAGAGUAUGGGCCAACACUUAAGAAAGCACACGACUUCGUGAAGGCUUCGCAGGUCCUUGAAAACCCUUCUGGUGACUUCAAAGCAAUGUACAGACACAUAUCAAAAGGAUCAUGGACUUUCUCAAUGCACGAUCAUGGUUGGCAAGUCUCUGACUGCACCGCAGAAGGACUCAAGGCUGCACUCCUAUUGUCAGAAAUGCCAACUGAUCUAGUUGGGGAAAAGAUGGAAACUCAGCGAUUCUAUGAUGCUGUUAAUGUCAUCCUCUCUCUACAAAGCAGUAAUGGGGGUUUUGCUGCUUGGGAACCUCAAAGAGCCUAUCAUUGGUUAGAGAAAUUCAACCCAACUGAAUUCUUUGAGGACACUCUCAUUGAGAUGGAGUAUGUGGAGUGCACUGGAUCAGCACUGCAAGCCUUGUCUCUCUUCAGAAAGCUAUACCCAAAGCACAGAAGAAAGGAAAUAGAUCACAGUAUUUCCAAAGCAAUCCGUUUCAUUGAAAACACUCAAAAUCCCGAUGGCUCCUGGUAUUGUGUAUUUUUUCUCUUCUACUUUACUAUUGACUUAAUGUUAUGCACUACGCUCUAAUCUACAGCACAAUUAUUGGUUCUAGCUUUACCAUUCAAAUUAAUGUGAAUUUUUCUAUGACACACUAGAUAACUUGCAACUGCUACAGUUAUGGUAUCUAUAAUAGGCAUGUCUUAACUUUUAUUUAACUUGUCAUAGCUAUAUAUUUGGUUUAGAAAAAGACCAAGUUCAUCAUUUACUAUAGAUAAGCACUUAAAACAGGUACGGUUGUUGGGGUAUUUGCUAUACCUAUGGUACCUGGUUUGCUGUAGAGGGACUAAGAGCCUGUGGAAAGAACUACCAUAACAGUCCUUCCCUACGCAAAGCUUGUAAAUUUUUGUUGUCAAAACAGCUUCCUAACGGUGGGUGGGGAGAGAGUUACUUGUCAAGCCAAAACAAGGUUUAUACAAAUCUAGAAGAUAACCGUGCAAACUUAGUUCAGAGUUCAUGGGCUUUGCUGUCCCUUAUUGCUGCAGGGCAGGCUGAGAUAGAUCCAACACCCAUACACCGUGGAAUAAAGUUACUAAUCAAUUCACAAAUGGAAGAUGGAGACUUCCCACAGCAGGAGAUCACAGGUGCAUUUAUGAGGAAUUGUACCCUUAACUACUCAUCGUAUCGAAACAUCUUUCCCAUAUGGGCUCUGGGAGAUUAUCGUCACCGAGUGUGUGAACAAGGACCGAAUGCCUCAAUUUGACUUCCAUCAAUUUAAAUGCUUGGUUGUAAACUACAUAUCAACUCAAAGAUGUGUAGUUCAAUUUCUAUUUCUAUGAAUUCUAUAUUUGCCUACAAAAUGUAAAAUAUUUUAUUUAAAAAUAUCCAGUGUAAUUGUGAAACAAUUCGUCUUUCCUCAAGAACCUGAAGCAUAAUAUAUAAAAUUAUUCAAUUUCAAG